rnacentral:rRNA from 2 species
AAAGAUUGACGAUUGGUAAGAAUCCACAACAAGUUGUUCUUCAUAGAUGUAUCUGAGGGUCUGUAGCUCAGUUGGUUAGAGCACACGCUUGAUAAGCGUGGGGUCACAAGUUCAAGUCUUGUCAGACCCACCAUGACUUUGACUGGUUAAAGUUAUAGAUAAAAGAUACAUGACUGAUGAUGUAAGCUGGGGACUUAGCUUAGUUGGUAGAGCGCCUGCUUUGCACGCAGGAGGUCAGGAGUUCGACUCUCCUAGUCUCCACCAGAACUUAAGAUAAGUUCGGAUUACAGAAAUUAGUAAAUAGAGAUUUCGGUCUUGGUUUAUUAACUUCUGUGAUUUAAGUAUCACGGUAUUAAGCAUGACCUGACGAAGGCNGGACCUAGCGGCGGACGGGUGAGUAAUGCUUAGGAAUCUGCCUAUUAGUGGGGGACAACAUCUCGAAAGGGAUGCUAAUACCGCAUACGUCCUACGGGAGAAAGCAGGGGAUCUUCGGACCUUGCGCUAAUAGAUGAGCCUAAGUCGGAUUAGCUAGUUGGUGGGGUAAAGGCCUACCAAGGCGACGAUCUGUAGCGGGUCUGAGAGGAUGAUCCGCCACACUGGGACUGAGACACGGCCCAGACUCCUACGGGAGGCAGCAGUGGGGAAUAUUGGACAAUGGGCGCAAGCCUGAUCCAGCCAUGCCGCGUGUGUGAAGAAGGCCUUAUGGUUGUAAAGCACUUUAAGCGAGGAGGAGGCUACUUUAGAUAAUACCUAGAGAUAGUGGACGUUACUCGCAGAAUAAGCACCGGCUAACUCUGUGCCAGCAGCCGCGGUAAUACAGAGGGUGCAAGCGUUAAUCGGAUUUACUGGGCGUAAAGCGCGCGUAGGCGGCUAAUUAAGUCAAAUGUGAAAUCCCCGAGCUUAACUUGGGAAUUGCAUUCGAUACUGGUUAGCUAGAGUGUGGGAGAGGAUGGUAGAAUUCCAGGUGUAGCGGUGAAAUGCGUAGAGAUCUGGAGGAAUACCGAUGGCGAAGGCAGCCAUCUGGCCUAACACUGACGCUGAGGUGCGAAAGCAUGGGGAGCAAACAGGAUUAGAUACCCUGGUAGUCCAUGCCGUAAACGAUGUCUACUAGCCGUUGGGGCCUUUGAGGCUUUAGUGGCGCAGCUAACGCGAUAAGUAGACCGCCUGGGGAGUACGGUCGCAAGACUAAAACUCAAAUGAAUUGACGGGGGCCCGCACAAGCGGUGGAGCAUGUGGUUUAAUUCGAUGCAACGCGAAGAACCUUACCUGGCCUUGACAUAGUAAGAACUUUCCAGAGAUGGAUUGGUGCCUUCGGGAACUUACAUACAGGUGCUGCAUGGCUGUCGUCAGCUCGUGUCGUGAGAUGUUGGGUUAAGUCCCGCAACGAGCGCAACCCUUUUCCUUAUUUGCCAGCGAGUAAUGUCGGGAACUUUAAGGAUACUGCCAGUGACAAACUGGAGGAAGGCGGGGACGACGUCAAGUCAUCAUGGCCCUUACGGCCAGGGCUACACACGUGCUACAAUGGUCGGUACAAAGGGUUGCUACACAGCGAUGUGAUGCUAAUCUCAAAAAGCCGAUCGUAGUCCGGAUUGGAGUCUGCAACUCGACUCCAUGAAGUCGGAAUCGCUAGUAAUCGCGGAUCAGAAUGCCGCGGUGAAUACGUUCCCGGGCCUUGUACACACCGCCCGUCACACCAUGGGAGUUUGUUGCACCAGAAGUAGCUAGCCUAACUGCAAAGAGGGCGGUUACCACGGUGUGGCCGAUGACUGGGGUGAAGUCGUAACAAGGUAGCCGUAGGGGAACCUGCGGCUGGAUCACCU